ensembl:Y_RNA Y_RNA Y RNA
AGCUGGUCUGAGUGCAGUGGUGUUUACAACUAAUUGAUCACAACCAGUUACAGAUUUCUUUGUUUGAUCUCCACUCCCACUUCUUCACUUGACUAGCCUUAA